rnacentral:rRNA from 1 species
CACGUAGGGAGCAAGCGUUGUCCGGAUUUAUUGGGCGUAAAGAGCUCGUAGGUGGUUCGGUAAGUCAGGUGUGAAACCUCCAGGCUCAACCUGGAGACGCCACUUGAUACUGCUGUGACUGGAGUCCGGUAGGGGAGCGUGGAAUUCCUGGUGUAGCGGUGGAAUGCGCAGAUAUCAGGAGGAACACCAAUAGCGAAGGCAGCUCGCUGGGACGUUACUGACACUGAGGCGCGAAAGCGUGGGGAGCGAACAGG